UGCAACUGGAGGAGCUAAAGAGACAACUACAAAACACUGAAUCUGACGCCAAGAUCAAAGAACUUCAAAAAAUUAUAGAUGAAAAAAAUGAGGAGCUGGCCAGAAAAACAGAGGAGCUCAAACAAAGGAGCACUCAACCACAGAGACUUUUGCAGAUUAUUGCAAUACAAACACAGAUUGAGAAGUUGGCGACCGUGGCAGCAAAUGACACUGAUUACCGUAAGAUUAACGCACUCCAGGCUCAUUUGAAUUAUUU